rnacentral:rRNA from 1 species
AUUGAACGCUGGCGGCAUGCCUUACACACGCAAGUCGAACGGUAACAGGGAGCUUGCUCCGCUGACGAGUGGCGAACGGGUGAGUAAUGCAUCGGAACGUACCCAGUAGUGGGGGAUAACGCAGCGAAAGCUGUGCUAAUACCGCAUACGCACUGAGGUGGAAAGCAGGGGACCUUCGGGCCUUGUGCUCUUGGAGCGGCCGAUGUCAGAUUAGCUAGUUGGUGGGGUAAAAGCUCACCAAGGCGACGAUCUGUAGCUGGUCUGAGAGGAUGAUCAGCCACACUGGGACUGAGACACGGCCCAGACUCCUACGGGAGGCAGCAGUGGGGAAUUUUGGACAAUGGGGGCAACCCUGAUCCAGCCAUGCCGCGUGAGGGAAGAAGGCCUUCGGGUUGUAAAGCUCUUUCGGCCGGGAAGAAAUCGCCAUCUCUAACAUAGGUGGUGGAUGACGGUACCGGAAUAAGAAGCACCGGCUAACUACGUGCCAGCCGCCGCGGUAA